AAUCCGCACGCACGCCCGCACCCCUCCCUCCUCCCUCGCUCGUCUCAGCCGCCACCCCACGAACCCUAGCCGCCACCCCCACGAACCCUUAGCCGCUCCCUUCCUUCAUCCGUCCUCCUCCCUCUCCCUGGUACGAGCCCCUCCCUGGCCGCCGCGAGCUCCUCCUCCUCCGUUCUCACAUGCUCCAACCCGAGCACGCUGGCGGAGACACGCACCGCGAGGCCCCGGAGCAGUUCAGCCAGUACAGAGCCCCUCCGUACAAGAGGAAACCCGUGGCCAAUCCAGCCAACAAUGACGACGCGUAGGAGAGCUCGACCUUGAUGAGGAAAGCAGCGGAGUUGGUGCAGCGGCGAAGGUCAGGGUCGGCCGUGGAGGGAGGCUUGAUGGCCGAAGCAGCAGGAGCAAGAAGGUUGAGGUGGUUCAGUGUGCCUUUUGAACUUGCAGAAACUGAAUGCAUAUAAGAAUCGAGGACCUUCACAGUGGAUUCAUGAUGAUGGUCAUCUACCGAGGCAUCAAGAUGAGCACAUCAUCUUGGACAAGCAGAUGCUAAUUUCUUCUCGCAUCCCGAGUACAUAUGUGAGGCUAUGGGAGUACUUUUUCAUGUGAUGAUGGGAGGAAUGAAUUGUACCAUGUGAACACAAUCGCUGGUAGUUUCGAAGGGAUAAGCUGGUCAAUGCAGGAAAAUCUGAAAGAAAGCGACUAAAAUCAACAUUUGAAGUUCAUCGAAAAAUGAAGAGGAUCGUGCCUUUCUGUUGGAAUUGCUUUUCUGGUUUAAGCAAUCAUUCAGGAUGGAAAACUGCCUGUUACAUGUAGUCUUCAGAACCUGUGCUGAAAUGACGCUUCUUUGGUUGGAAAGUGUCCAAUUUUGCAAAACUUUUGGCUGUCUCGAAUAGUUUUCAAGUUGUUUCAGUGACAUCAGUUCUGCUAAGAGGUUUUAAAUGUGAACCUAAAUACCUGUUACCAUCAGUGACCAAACUUGUGGUGUGCAAUGUUCACCUAACUUAAAACAGCUUGCGCCCUGUCUUUUAAUUUA